AGUAAACCUACUCCUCUAGCUCGCUCGCUCGCUCUCUUCACUCCUUUGGCAAUUUGCAAACUAACUUUAUUCAUAUUUUCUGUGCCACUUCACUUGGUUUCUGAUUUCAGAUGCUCCCUACCUUCUCUUUCUAGGGUUUCAGUUCUGCAGUGAGUGUACAGUGAAAAUGGCGAGAAAGAAGAUUCAGAUCAAGAAGAUUGAUAACUUGACGGCACACCAACUCCAAGUGACAUUAUUGAAGAGAAGAGGGGUUUUCAAGAAGACUCAAGAACCCUCUACUCUUUGUGAUGCUGAGAUUGCCCUAAUUAUUUUUUCUGCACUAGAAAAGUCUUCCAUUGUUCUUGCUCAAGGUUUUCUAAUUUCCUCUCCUCUCUCUUGAACACAUACAUAUCAUGCUACUGGGGUCGAAGCUUUGAUGCUUUUGGCUACUGAGUUUUAAUCACUUAGCUAGUUUUGUAUUGAAAACUAAAGAUUUUAAUGGGAUAAAACCACAGAAAACUUAUAUUGAAAA